rnacentral:rRNA from 1 species
AAAGAUUAAGCCAUGCAAGUCUAAGUUUAAGCACAUAAACGGCGAAACUGCGAAUGGCUCAUUAAAUCAGUUAUCGUAUAUUUGAUAGUACCUACUACAUGGAUAACCGUGGUAAUUCUAGAGCUAAUACAUGCUUAAAAUCCCGACUUCGGAAGGGAUGUAUUUAUUAGAUUAAAAACCAAUGCCCUUCGGGGCUCACUGGUGAUUCAUAAUAACUUCUCGAAUCGCAUGGCCUUGCGCCGGCGAUGGUUCAUUCAAAUUUCUGCCCUAUCAAUUUUCGACGGCUGGGUCUUGGCCAGCCGUGGUUACAACGGGUAACGGAGGGUUAGGGCUUGACCCCGGAGAAGGAGCCUGAGGAACGGCUACUACAUCCAAGGAAGGCAGCAGGCGCGCAAAUUACCCAAUCCCGAUACGGGGAGGUAGUGACAAUAAAUACUGAUACAGGGCUCUUUUGGGUCUUGUAAUUGGAAUGAGUACAAUUUAAAUCCCUUAACGAGGAACAAUUGGAGGGCAAGUCUGGUGCCAGCAGCCGCGGUAAUUCCAGCUCCAAUAGCGUAUAUUAAAGUUGUUGCAGUUAAAAAGCUCGUAGUUGAACCCUGGGCCUGGCUGGCCGGUCUGCCUCACCGCAUGCACUGGUCCGGCCGGGCCUUUCCCUCUGGGGAGCCGCAUGCCCUCCACUGGGUGUGUCGGGGAACCAGGACUUUUACUGUGAAAAAAUUAGAGUGUUCAAAGCAGGUAUAUGCUCGAAUACAUUAGCAUGGAAUAAUAGAAUAGGACGUUGCGGUUCUAUUUUGUUGGUUUCUAGGACCGCCGUAAUGAUUAAUAGGGA